rnacentral:rRNA from 1 species
GAUGAACGCUGGCGGCGUGCCUAAUACAUGCAAGUCGAGCGAACAGACGAGGAGCUUGCUCCUCUGACGUUAGCGGCGGACGGGUGAGUAACACGUGGAUAACCUACCUAUAAGACUGGGAUAACUUCGGGAAACCGGAGCUAAUACCGGAUAAUAUAUUGAACCGCAUGGUUCAAUAGUGAAAGACGGUUUUGCUGUCACUUAUAGAUGGAUCCGCGCCGCAUUAGCUAGUUGGUAAGGUAACGGCUUACCAAGGCGACGAUGCGUAGCCGACCUGAGAGGAUGAUCGGCCACACUGGAACUGAGACACGGUCCAGACUCCUACGGGAGGCAGCAGUAGGGAAUCUUGCGCAAUGGGCGCAAGCCUGACGGAGCAACGCCGCGUGAGUGAUGAAGGUCUUCGGAUCGUAAAACUCUGUUAUUAGGGAAGAACAAAUGUGUAAGUAACUAUGCACGUCUUGACGGUACCUAAACAGAAAGCCACGGCUAACUACGUG